rnacentral:rRNA from 1 species
UACGUAGGGGGCUAGCGUUGUCCGGAAUCAUUGGGCGUAAAGAGCGUGUAGGCGGCCCGGUAAGUCCGCUGUGAAAGUCGGGGGCUCAACCCUCGAAUGCCGGUGGAUACUGUCGGGCUAGAGUGCGGAAGAGGCGAGUGGAAUUCCUGGUGUAGCGGUGAAAUGCGCAGAUAUCAGGAAGAACACCGAUGGCGAAAGCAGCUCUCUGGGACGGUACUGACGCUGAGGCGCGAAAGCUAGGGGAGCGAACAGG